UGUAUCUACUGGGAGGAAGCUGUUAGAACACUGACACUAAAAUUCUUUUUCCUUUUUAAUUCAGCCAAACACUCUUCAACCAAACUCCGUUCUUCUACUGAAGGCUCUGAGCUCUCUGAGGAACUGAAUCCUAAAGCUUGAAGUCAGCGUCCUGCACACAGUUUAUGGGUGAAUUUUCCUCUGGAUCAACAACCGAUGUCUCCACAUUCUUCUCCAUAAACUGUGAAUUUAUGGCUUAUUCAUCUUUCAUUUAAACGGUGUGAAUCAGGGUUGGUGAACAUCUGGAAGCUGUGAGGAAACAUCAAAAGUGACAUUUAAGUAUUUGGGUUGUUUGAUUUUAAUAAAAAGGUUGAAUUUCCUCUGAUGAAAUAAAAUUAGGAUUAUUUUAGGAGACAUUUGAAUCAAUGAAAGCAUCAAAGUCCUCACAGACGAGUGUGUUCAUCUCAAACUAAUCCACCAGAUUUACUCUUUGAUGCUUCUGCUGUUUGGGUUUCUGUAAAACACACACACACACACACACACAGACCAAAUAUAGACAUUAGAACAUUUAUUUUCCGAUUGUGUAAAUAUUUUACUUGUGUUUCUCUUUACAUUGAAUUCAACAGGCUGAAGAAAAUAAUAAUUUUUAUAAUUUUUUUUAUGAAUAAAUCAGUUUGUUUAUUGGUGUCUUUUGAUCAGUUGAUCAAGUAUCAUAUUAUUUAAAUUUGGAACACAAGGAUUGAAAUGUAAUUGAAUAUUUCUUACUCCUGUUUAGGAUCGAUGGACAUUUUCCUUCUUGGUUUCGUUUGAGUUGAACAGUGAAGCUCUAAAUCACUUGUGGUUUUGUAGAUGAAGCGGCUCCAUUUUCCCUUUUUGUACCUUUGUCUUGCUGUUCAAUAAAUGCUCCACUGCUCCAGA